UACAUUCUGCUUUUUUUUAUUAUUGUGGUUAGUUUCUAAUGUCUUAGAGGCUGCGAGUAGGACGGAUGCAAUUCGUUGGUGACAGCUGACGGAGACUCGAAUUUUGUAAAGGCACAGCCACUUACGAUGGCAUUGCUAUUUUGUAGAGUGAGAAAGCUCAAGAGAUGAGUCAAUUAAGUGACAUGUCCCCUCCCAACCACAGGCACAGGCGCUUGGGACAGAGAAACCCUGGAGGCCUGGACGCCUCCCCCGAUUGCAUCACUUCUCUUGUAUUUCAACUAGAUAAAGUGGAAAAAUGCACAGAGCAAAAGCACAUUAAGAAGCAGUACUUAGCAAGAGCAGAUGGGUUUGAGCUCGACGAAAAAAGUUUACAAUUUGGCUAAAUUGGUCUGAAAAAUGUUUAGCCAUGGAAAUGCCGGUCUGGAGUGAAAUUCAAUCGUACUGUAAUUACUAAUUAGCGUUUUAAUAAAAAUGCAAUAAACUGGGCUGUGCUUCGAAAUGAA